AGCAGGUGCAUCCAGACUAGCCUUGCCAUUAGAAAGUAAUCAGAAAACCACUACUUGGAAACUACUUCGAAAAGAGUUCUGGGGAGCUCCUAUUCUACCCACUUCUAUCACUGGCUCCCCUCCAAAGAGGAUCUGAUCAUCUGACUGGUUGGCAACAUACAGACUUCAAAAAGAAGGCAACUGACAGAAUUUGUGAAGAAAAGAAGCAGUGCCUGAGGUUGCUUAAGGAUGGGAGCUUAUGUCUCAGUUACUCUACUCUCUUUCUGAGAAAGAUAAACAUAAAACCUAAUCGAGGAAUUUUCACCUCUUACACAAAACAACAGUGAAGAGUAUCAUUUGGGAAAAGGAAUUUGACAACUAAUAGUUAAAAAGACUGAUAGGUAAACAUAACAUUCUUGUCUGAGAAUGCUAAGAGAACCUCUAACUGAUAAAAAUUGUGAGGCUUGGAAAAAUAAAAAAAUUAGGAUUAAACAUGACAAUGGAGCAGUCACAUAAACUUACCAAAGGGAGAGAAAAAAAACCCUUAGAAUUAACCGUAGUUAGGGUGAUCACAUGUCUCAGUUUUCCUGGAUCAGUCUUAGUUCAAACCUUAAAACUGGCAAAAUUAAUAAUUAUACCCUGUUUACUCUCAAAGGUGUCCUUGUUCAGACCAAAUAUUAUAAAUGUCACUGUAGCCAAAGAGGAUGAAGCAGUCUUAUUCCUAUGCAUGGCAACCAGGAAAAGAACAAAGGGAGUAUCUCUGAAAACUGGGACGUGCCAUUCUGUUUAUGACAUGACAGUUCAUUACAAAAAGGCAAAUGCGGUGGCCUCGACCAAUAUACAUUUAUUUAUAAAAUGAGUACCAACCCACAAAACUGUUUUGAAUUACUUAGUGGAAAUCAGGAUCUUUCAUCACAGAAAUAAAGGAAAGCAGAGAAGGGGAGAUAAAAUUGGCAACAUCCUCUGAAACUCAAGCCGAAAACCAUGUUUCAGCAAAGGAAACACAGAAUCCUUACCCAAUGCCAUGGCACAUGAGAGCCUUUCCACAUGCCAGACAAACCAUUCUAGCAAGAAUCCUAGUCCAAACUGGGAUUGUGAGUAUAUUUGUAUUUUCUCUACUUUAAGAGAAGACUAGCAGAAUUUUUCUUGUAAAUUUAGGGAUGCAUAAUCACAUGUUGUUUUACAUAAACAUGUAUUCCAAUUUACAUAAAUUUGCAUAGCAUUUUCUCAAAAAACUAGCUCUGAAUAUGUAAAACAAAUUAAUCUGUGCUCUCUAAUCUAAUUGUAUUCAAAUACAAGAUCCAAGGCUACCACAAGAGGUAGGCUUACCAGAUACAGCAAUGGCAUCACUCCAGAACUCUUUACAGAAAAUAGGUAAAAGUUAUAUAUUAGAUAAAACUAGGAUAUUUCCAAAAAUUAACUAGAAACAUUCAACAAACUGUUGAUGAAAUAAUCCCAGGUUGAAAACAUAUAGAUGAUAUACGCGACACUAUUCAUUAAAGACUAGCAUGAGGUUGCCUGUUUACCACAUUCUUCAUAGCCAUGUUCAACUUCAGUUCUUCAAGAUUGUUUGCUCUAAAAAAAGUAGUCAUAAGCUAUAGAGAAGGAGUCGCUUUUUUAUCUAUAUUUUAACAAGAAUAUACUGGAAAUUAUUAUUACUACAGCUAAAAAGCAAUGGCAUUUAAUUUCUAAUUACCAGUAAAAUAUUUCAGGACUGGUUCUUUCUUCUUAUUAUUAAAUGUAAACAACAGAAGGGGAGAGAAGUAGUCUUCUUCCUGUCUUUCAUAAAUUAAACUGCUACUUGGUAAAUAAUUAUUUCUGUGCGAUAAGAUAGUCUAGCACUAUGGCUUUUUUUCAAAGUUUUUUUUUUUUUUUUUUAAAGAUUUCCUUUAUUGAUUCUGAGAAGCACAGUAAAAUCUUCUGUAGCCCUUAACUAAAAUCUUUUCAUGCCCCACACAGGUAUGGGGUUCCUAGUUGUUCAGAUUAGAUCCAGAGUUGGCAAUUCUUGAACAUGUUAACAUGCAAAAAUAAAAAACAAAAAAAACUUUCUUCAAGGGAAAAAAAAAUGAGAAAUUGAUAAACGUGAAAGCUGUGAACUACUCAAAGAGAGCAUAAAAUAAGCCCAGUAAUACACAAACCAGAUCAUGUCAGCUGUCUACUCAGUAGCUUCUAAUAGCUUCCCAUCGCCUUCAGAAUAAAAUCCAAAUUUACCAGGAACCACAAGACACUACACAAUCUGGCAUCUAGCUGCCACUGCGGUCUCACUGCAUGUUGCAUUCACUUACUGCACAAGCCUUUUUGCUAUGCUUUUAACAUGCCAAGCAGGGUUUUGCCUUAGGGUCCUUGCUUUGGUUUUCAGUGUUACAGUUGGAUUUGGGGGAAAGGAAGAUUAGAACAGGUCAAGUUAAAACACCAUCAAUCUCUAGUCUUACCAAGAGUCUUCCAUUUUUCUUGAAUGAACCAUGCUUAGUUUGUUGCAUGACUGCAGUGAAUUUCCAGAGUUCUGAAAAAGUUGAUUUUGAUCAUUUGUGCCAGUGUUCUUGUUGCUUUAUGGAAGAGUGUUUUUUUUGGGAAGUCCUUACUUUGCCAUUCUGGAAAUGCCAUUCUGAAUAUUCUUCUUUAAAAUUCACUAAAACUUGACAAGUGGUAGGUUGUUAACAAUUAGUUGUAUGUUAUUUCUGAAACUGUAACAGUAGAAUUUUUGUACUCUGUUUAACAUUAAACCAUGAAAUUUACUUUUCUAUAAAAGAUUAGGUUAACUUUUAUUUAUUCAACAAAUAUGUUUUGAGUCACUGCCUUGUAUCAGUCACUAUUCCAGGCACUGGAGAUCUGGCAGGGAUGAGGAAGUGACAUUUGCAUAGAGGUUCUAAUGAAGUGAGGGAAUGCGCCAUGGGAAGACAAUUCCAGACUGUCUGAAAAAGACGCAUUUAGAUUCCGUGACACAAAUAGAUUGAAAGUAAAUGGAAAGAAAAUAAUAUAUCAUGCAAAUGGUACCCAAAAGAAAGCU